CAGAAUGGAAGUCUAAUGGUUUUCAACUGCCCUAGCAUGGAAAAUAUUAUCAACGAGUCUAAUGUUAUUCUACUGCGAAGGACUUGCACUUCAGGCAUAUAUACUGAUGUGGUGCAACUAUGAAUAUGUUUCUAAUGAGCAAAGGAAAUAAAUGUGAGAGAAUUGGCGGGGUGCUGGUUUUUUAUACAAACAUAUCCAAACUGUAUUGGAUGGAACGAGUUGUUUGCUGGAGACCUUAUAUACCAACACAAUGCUUCAAAUUAGUCUUGUCAUUAUGAUAUUGAACUUAUCUAUUUCUGCAUGUUUCAUAAAGUUUGCAUUUUUCUUCACACCAUUUAAAUGUAACGUCGACGCUUUUUAAUGGUUGGUCCAUUCUUGACCACUUUGUCCAAGUGUGUUAGAUGAGUAGAAGUUGUUAAUUGGUCCAUUUCAAUGUGUAGUGGUUUUUCAUGAAAGAUUUUUU